UACGGAGGGUGCGAGCGUUGUCCGGAAUUAUUGGGCGUAAAGAGAACGUAGGCGGUUUGUUAAGUUUGGGCUUAAAGACUGGGGCUCAACCCCAGGAGUGGCUCGAAAACUGACAGACUAGAGGAUGGCAGAGGAAAGUGGAAUUCCCAGUGUAGCGGUGAAAUGCGUAGAUAUUGGGAAGAACACCAGUGGCGAAGGCGGUUCUCUGGGACGGUACUGACGCUGAGACGCGAAAGCGUGGGGAGCGAACAGG
rnacentral:rRNA from 1 species